rnacentral:rRNA from 1 species
GUGGGGAAUAUUGGACAAUGGGCGAAAGCCUGAUCCAGCAAUGCCGCGUGAGUGAUGAAGGCCUUAGGGUUGUAAAGCUCUUUUACCAGGGAUGAUAAUGACAGUACCUGGAGAAUAAGCUCCGGCUAACUCCGUGCCAGCAGCCGCGGUAAUACGGAGGGAGCUAGCGUUGUUCGGAAUUACUGGGCGUAAAGCGCGCGUAGGCGGUCCAUCAAGUCAGAGGUGAAAGCCCGGGGCUCAACCCCGGAACUGCCUUUGAAACUAGCGGACUAGAAUCUUGGAGAGGUCAGUGGAAUUCCGAGUGUAGAGGUGAAAUUCGUAGAUAUUCGGGAGAACACCAGUGGCGAAGGCGACUGACUGGACAAGUAUUGACGCUGAGGUGCGAAAGCGUGGGGAGCAAACAGGAUUAGAAACCCCAGUAGUCC